rnacentral:rRNA from 1 species
AAUGACCGAUAGUGAAAUAGUACCGUGAGGGAAAGGUGAAAAGAACCCCGGGAGGGGAGUGAAAAGAACAUGAAACCAUAAACUUACAAGCAGUAGGAGGACGACUAAAACGUCUGACUGCGUGCCUGUUGAAGAAUGAGCCGGCGACUUAUAGGUAGUGGCAGGUUAAGGUAGUGAAUACCGAAGCCAUAGUGAAAGCGAGCCUGAAUAGGGCGAUUGUCACUAGUUAUAGACCCGAACCCGGAUGAUCUAACCAUGGUCAGGUUGAAGCUUAGGUAAUACUAAGUGGAGGACCGAACCGACUGAUGUUGAAAAAUCAGCGGAUGAAUUGUGGUUAGGGGUGAAAUGCCAAUCGAAUUCGGAGCUAGCUGGUUCUCCCCGAAAUGCGUUUAGGCGCAGCG